rnacentral:rRNA from 1 species
AUUGAACGCUGGCGGCAGGCCUAACACAUGCAAGUCGAGCGAGCGGCGGACGGGUGAGUAAUGUAUGGGGACUGCCCGAUAGAGGGGGAUAACUACUGGAAACGGUAGCUAAUACCGCAUACUAACGGAUAACCCAUAUGGGAUCAGCUAGUGUGUGGGGUAAAGGCCAACCAAGGCAACGAUCCGUAGCUGGUUUGAGAGGACGACCAGCCACAUUGGGACUGAGCCACGGGCCAUACUCCUGCGGAGGCAGCAGUGGGGAAUUUUGGACAAUGGGUUAAAGCCUGCUGCAGCCAUCCCGCGUGUAUGAUGAAGGCCUUCGGGUUGUAAAGUACUUUUGGCAGGGAGGCGGUAUCUGCAGAAUAAGCACCGGCUAACUACGUGCCAGCAGCCGCGGUAAUUC